rnacentral:lncRNA from 1 species
AUAAAUUAUGUAAUAUGCCAGGGAGAUAUGUAUACUGUAGCUAAGAAAGUAAUACUUAGUGUAUGUUGUGUAGUAAGCUGUUAGUAGCCCAUGUGCCCCACCCUAAUAAUUUGGUCUAUUUUCUUCUCUUAACUUUGCCUACUGUUCUGACUUGGUGGUGCACAUGUAGCCUAUAACCUGUUUUAGAGAAAUGUCAUCAUCAAAUAUUGUAAGAGCUUUCAUUGUCUGCUUAUAUGCCCCCUUUAUUUAUCCUAUGGUUCAGACUUGGUUUACAGGGAGAACACUGUAAGAACGGCCCAUGUUCUGAAUUCUGUCGCUGUACUGUUGGGACUCUGCUGUUGGGACAACUUUGUGUAGGCCCUAACAGUUUGUGGGCAACGUUUGUCACCAUUUUAGUGAAAUUAAUCUAUUGUUUAGUGUUGUGUUGUUGCUUUUCCGGCAUUCAUCCCUCUUUUUUUGGUUUAUCCCACCAAGCUUUACAUGCUAAAAUCGUCACGGGUUGUAAUAUUAACUUACCAUAUGUAUCCAUCUUUGCACACAUGCCAGUACAUUUUCUGAUAGGACACCUUGAGCAGGCCUUUCUUCUGGAGGUAUUUCACCUUUUAAGCUGUUUUUUUGGCUACAAUAUAUGACUUAGCACACGAGCUAUUUUCAAUUAAAAAUCCUUGGGUCAGGUAUUGGAUUUGGGUGCGCACUUUAAGAGUAAAAAUUUGUAUCCAGCUGGAAAUUGGACCAAAAAAAAGAGAGUUCACUUGUUCACAUGUUGUUUAACGUCAUCGAGGACAAAACGCAGUGACAGUCAACGCUGACCAAGGCCAACCAUGCCUACACUGGAAGACGCUUUGCCAAUUGUGCCCCACCCUAUGGGACUCCCAAUCACAGCCAGAUGUGAUGCAGCCUGGAUUCAAACCAGAAUGUCUUACAAACAAUGUAAGAAGAUGGCCUCAUCAGCAGAGAUUGAUGCCAUAACUGAAUUGGUAGAUGUCGAGAUCCCUAAGUAAGAUGUAUGGGAACCAACUGUGGUUGCUGUAGAUGAUUAUGUACCUCCCAUAGAUGGGGACAACGUUGACAAGAUGUGUGAGUCGGACAAUAGCUCAGAUUUUUCAAGCUCAGACGGCUCGUCAUCCACUGACAGUGAAUAUGAAAAAAAGAAGAAGAAGAAGAAGGGGAAAAAAGGAAACAGCUAAAUCCAGAGAUCUUCUCAGGAAUGAAUCAUGUCCGUGGAAUGGAUAUAGACAAAAAUAAAAUUCAAGGACUCCGCAAGGCUAGUGGCAAAAUGAUAGCAGAGGUAGAGAGGCGAGGCAGGGGUUAGGACAUCAUCCUGCUAUUUUGACAGUCCCUGAAGGACAAUGCAGAAGAGGCACACAGGGGACUCGAGACCACAGCAGCGAUCCUGCUCUUGCUCUACUUCUUCAAUGAGGACCCGUGAUGUCCUUGGCAAGAUUUUACCGCUCCCUACUCCUUUACUGCACAUCGGCGGAAAUCCAUUUCACCAUGAGAGUGAAAUCAUGCUGGCCUUUGAUGGGGAGAACAUCCACGCCUUCGAGGACGUCCCCUUGGGACUUGGGGCUCUGCUAGGGCUGUAUUUUUUAUUCUCAGUUAAAUUUCCCCAAAAUGUCAGAAAAACACUUAUGUUCUUAAGUUACUGUGUUCUGGGGAUAAGAGAAGUUGGGUGAAGUUACCAAGGGCCGGUCAUAGAGAUGGCAAACUUGCAAACUUCCUAACAUAACUAAGUGGUUGUUGGGCAAGUGGUUGUUGGACACACACACACACAAAAGCAAAAAAAGCUGUAUUUAGCAUCACGUCUACAAUAUUGUUAGUUUACCUAUGAUUCAUUUUUAACGUUUGUUGUUUUUGUUGUACAACAUUAUUUUAUAAACAAAUUAAUUGUAAUGAAAAGCACUAUACAAAGUACAUUUAUUAUUUAUAAUGGUCUGACAUGCCUGCAAAAAUGUUGCAAUUUUGUAACAUGUUUUGUUUGAUCAAUUGUUUUGUAAAUAUGAAUUCACAUUUGUGGUGCCACUAAAUAAACAAUGAGUUAUUUAAAUCCAUGUUGUCAAUAUUGUUAUAAUUAUUAAAAUAUUGGAAAGG